AAUCUUUGAACUAACGGAACUACCAGAAUCAUAAGAGUAACUUAAUAAAACGAAAGAAUUAAACAUAUAAAAUUGGUGCAAUAAAUAAUACGAUUAUUAUGGGGAAAUACUUUUGAAUCCACGUUUAUACUUAGCGCAGCGUGAUAACUUUAAACUUUCGAUCUAUGUAACUUGGAUGGCUCACAUACUAUUAAAUAGACUGUAGGUUAAUUACUGCGUAUAUCGUAGUUAGUGAGUUUGUAAUUUUUAUUUGUGCUUCAUAUGUUAUCCAUCUUGAUAUUUUUCAUCCUCGUUCUAUUGGCGAUAUUCAGUGAAAGGUGAUCCGCUGGCUCCUCAAGUGGGGGAAGUAUUCGUGAAGAUAAUUUCUCACUUCUUCAGGAUAAAUUGAACAAGUCAGAAGCUGGAUCUUCUUCCAUCAUCAGGUGUAAGUGGGGAAAAGGAUCUUACUCAGCUUGGCCUGUUAGGAAUUAGUCUCAGCCAGCAGGCAAAGUGACUGCUGUAUAAAACCAGUAAUUUCCACCUAGCUCAUAAUGACGUA